GGGCGGUUAGCUCAGUGGUAGAGCACUUCGUUCACACCGAAGGGGUCGUAGGUUCAAGUCCUAUACCGCCCACCA
rnacentral:tRNA from 1 species